GUCCAGCAGAGCUGAGCAGUCAAGAUGUGUGACUUCACCGAGGACCAGACUGCAGAAUUCAAGGAGGCCUUCCAGCUGUUUGACUGAACAGGUGAUGGCAAGAUCCUAUAUAGCCAAUGUGGGAACGUGAUGAGGGCCCUGGGCCAGAACCCCACCAACGCCGUGGUGCCCAAGGUCCUGGAGAACCCCAAGAGUGAUGAGAUGAAUGUGAAGGUACUGGACUUUGAGCACUUCUUGCCUAUGCUGCAGACUGUGGCCAAGAACAAGGACCAGGGCACCUAUGAGGAUUAUGUUGAAGGCCUUCGGGUGUUUUACAAAGAAGGGAACGGCACUGUAAUGGGCACUGAAAUCUGGCAUGUCCUUGUCAUGGUGGGUGAGAAGAUGACAGAGGAAGAAGUGGAGAUGCUGGUGGAAGGGCACAAGGAUAGCGAUGGUUGUAUCAACUACGAAGAGCUCGUCCACAUGGUGCUGCAUGGCUGA